AUGAAGUCAUUGGCCAUUUGUGAUUAGCUCGGUCUCCAGCUCCUUUCCCCUCCCAGGGGUUUGGGAGGUGGGGCUGCAAGUUCUACCCUCUGAUCAAGGCCUGAUGUUCUGCCUUCACCCCGCAGCUUCCCAAGGGUUCCCAGACACCAGUCAUUUCAUAUCAUACAAACAGAACUCAUCACUCUGGAGAUUCCAGGAGUUUUAGGAGCCAUUUACCAGGAACCAGGGACAAAGAACAAAUCAAACAUCUGCUUCCUGGGGAGCUGCAGGAGGCCAUGGAGAUAAAGAGAAUGGAAAUGGAGCUGCCAGCACAACGAAGGAACACAGGUUUGAGGUGGGCUGUGCUAUGUAUGAACUUUCCUAGAAGAGAAGCUGGAGUGUGACCAUGACAUCUGCCAGUGGAAGUGGAGACAGUCACAUCCUCAUUAAGAGGGGGCUCAAACUUCAGUGUGCGUGAGAAUUACUCAGACAGCUUAUUCGGUCACAGAUGGCUGAUUCAGUAGGGCUGAACCAGACUCAGAACACUUGGUCUAUAGGAACCACAGGAGGUUAGAGAAGGGGAAAACCAGCACAGACUCUGGUGGUGGAGAAGUUCAGGUAAGUGUGUGAUUCUGCUGGUUCCUUUGCUUGAGUGUUGGCCUCACUUUAGGUGGGGCUUGGUGGAUCUUUCAGUGACUUCAGAAAGUGAGUGGAAUGAAAUGGAGCCUCAUUUGGUUUGGCAGAAGAUUGGGGUAUUUGGAUAGGUCGUGAUCAGGAUGGGAGAUGUUGUAGACCAGGGAAACCCUGUGAACAAAAUCACCACACCUGAAAUGAUCUCUGAAUGUCCUGUUCACCCUGUUGGGAAAGCUCAGCUCCAUCCAAUCACAUGGG
rnacentral:lncRNA from 1 species